AUUGAGGGGGGCUGCUCCUAGUACGAGAGGACCGGAGUGGACGCAUCACUGGUGUUCGGGUUGUCAUGCCAAUGGCAUUGCCCGGUAGCUAAAUGCGGAAGAGAUAAGUGCUGAAAGCAUCUAAGCACGAAACUUGCCCCGAGAUGAGUUCUCCCUGACUCUUAAAGAGUCCUGAAGGAACGUUGAAGACGACGACGUUGAUAGGCCGGGUGUGUAAGCGCAGCGAUGCGUUGAGCUAACCGGUACUAAUGAACCGUGAGGCUUAACCUUACAACGCCGAAG
rnacentral:rRNA from 1 species